AAAUUGAAGAGUUUGAUCAUGGCUCAGAUUGAACGCUGGCGGCAGGCCUAACACAUGCAAGUCGAACGGUAACAGGAAGCAGCUUGCUGCUUCGCUGACGAGUGGCGGACGGGUGAGUAAUGUCUGGGAAACUGCCUGAUGGAGGGGGAUAACUACUGGAAACGGUAGCUAAUACCGCAUAACGUCGCAAGACCAAAGAGGGGGACCUUCGGGCCUCUUGCCAUCGGAUGUGCCCAGAUGGGAUUAGCUUGUUGGUGGGGUAACGGCUCACCAAGGCGACGAUCCCUAGCUGGUCUGAGAGGAUGACCAGCCACACUGGAACUGAGACACGGUCCAGACUCCUACGGGAGGCAGCAGUGGGGAAUAUUGCACAAUGGGCGCAAGCCUGAUGCAGCCAUGCCGCGUGUAUGAAGAAGGCCUUCGGGUUGUAAAGUACUUUCAGCGGGGAGGAAGGGAGUAAAGUUAAUACCUUUGCUCAUUGACGUUACCCGCAGAAGAAGCACCGGCUAACUCCGUGCCAGCAGCCGCGGUAAUACGGAGGGUGCAAGCGUUAAUCGGAAUUACUGGGCGUAAAGCGCACGCAGGCGGUUUGUUAAGUCAGAUGUGAAAUCCCCGGGCUCAACCUGGGAACUGCAUCUGAUACUGGCAAGCUUGAGUCUCGUAGAGGGGGGUAGAAUUCCAGGUGUAGCGGUGAAAUGCGUAGAGAUCUGGAGGAAUACCGGUGGCGAAGGCGGCCCCCUGGACGAAGACUGACGCUCAGGUGCGAAAGCGUGGGGAGCAAACAGGAUUAGAUACCCUGGUAGUCCACGCCGUAAACGAUGUCGACUUGGAGGUUGUGCCCUUGAGGCGUGGCUUCCGGAGCUAACGCGUUAAGUCGACCGCCUGGGGAGUACGACCGCAAGGUUAAAACUCAAAUGAAUUGACGGGGGCCCGCACAAGCGGUGGAGCAUGUGGUUUAAUUCGAUGCAACGCGAAGAACCUUACCUGGUCUUGACAUCCACAGAACUUUCCAGAGAUGGAUUGGUGCCUUCGGGAACUGUGAGACAGGUGCUGCAUGGCUGUCGUCAGCUCGUGUUGUGAAAUGUUGGGUUAAGUCCCGCAACGAGCGCAACCCUUAUCCUUUGUUGCCAGCGGUCCGGCCGGGAACUCAAAGGAGACUGCCAGUGAUAAACUGGAGGAAGGUGGGGAUGACGUCAAGUCAUCAUGGCCCUUACGACCAGGGCUACACACGUGCUACAAUGGCGCAUACAAAGAGAAGCGACCUCGCGAGAGCAAGCGGACCUCAUAAAGUGCGUCGUAGUCCGGAUUGAGUCUGCAACUCGACUCCAUGAAGUCGGAAUCGCUAGUAAUCGUGGAUCAGAAUGCCACGGUGAAUACGUUCCCGGGCCUUGUACACACCGCCCGUCACACCAUGGGAGUGGGUUGCAAAAGAAGUAGGUAGCUUAACCUUCGGGAGGGCGCUUACCACUUUGUGAUUCAUGACUGGGGUGAAGUCGUAACAAGGUAACCGUAGGGGAACCUGCGGUUGGAUCACCUCCUUACCUUAAAGAAGC
rnacentral:rRNA from 1 species